rnacentral:rRNA from 1 species
UCUUGGUCAUUUAGAGGAAGUAAAAGUCGUAACAAGGUUUCCGUAGGUGAACCUGCGGAAGGAUCAUUAUCGAGUUUCGAAAGUGGGCCUUUUNGAUGCUGGCCUCUUCGGAGGCACCGUGCUCGGGCCCCGCUCAUCCACUCAACCCCUGUGCACUCUUGAGGUGUGGCCCUCCGUCAUGGGAGCCGCUCGGAGCGAUCCGAGCUGGGACCGCGCCUCGCCAACCCUAUCACAAACCCACNCGUCGUCUAGUAGAAUGUGUAGCGCCUUNUGGCGUAAUAAAAGUUAAAUACAACUUUCAACAACGGAUCUCUUGGCUCUCGCAUCGAUGAAGAACGCAGCGAAAUGCGAUAAGUAAUGUGAAUUGCAGAAUUCAGUGAAUCAUCGAAUCUUUGAACGCACCUUGCGCUCCUUGGUAUUCCGAGGAGCAUGCCUGUUUGAGUGUCAUGAAUAUCAUCAACCUCUGGCGUUUUUGCGAACGCGCGGACGGCUUGGACUUGGGGGCUUGCUGGCUUCGGUCGGCUCUCCUGGAAUGCAUUAGUGGGUCUUUUCGUCUCCCUGAGCGGUGUCUCGGUGUGAUAACUUCUUCACCUUGAGUAAGCCCGUCUCGUUUGAAGGGGAGGCGAUGUGAUUCCUGCUUCGAACGGUCCCUUCGUCGGGACAGACUUCAAUUGACAAUCUGACCUCAAAUCAGGUAGGAUUACCCGCUGAACUUAAGCAUAUCAAUA